CUCUGGGAGAAAACAGGGUGGUGAACAGGUAGUUGGGGCCCAUCUGCUACUCUCCUCCGCCUCUGCCUCUCUGGUGAAUGGGUGUACACGCUGUUGAGAGCAGAGGUGUUCCCGCCCAGCUUCUCUACUUCCUUAUCCACAAAAAUGACUGUCCUCCUUGAUCUGCCCAGAUUCUCACCACCUUUUGGCUACAGAUCCUGGCCCAAAGGAAUCCCAUCACCCAAUGCUGCUCAACCAUUUUUCUGCAAACGCAGUGGAAGUUGAGGAUGGAGUGUGUGAGGGGGUCAUCAAAAAGGCCACACCUGAUAGCCAAGCUAGGUGUUGGCAUGGCAUCACCAGAGGAAGAACAGACCCAUAGGCCUCUCCAUCUCCCCUGGAACAAAGGAACAAACCUGCUCUUCCAGGCUUACAGUAACAGAUACUCUCUGUGAGGGGAGAACCCGACGGAACUGUGCUUGGAGACAGUGAGACGGGAGCAGAGCGCAUGUCCUCAUGUUGAAGGCAAUUACUCCCCCCCUCAACUUCUGGCUUCUCGAACAUCCCUGGCACCCUCCCCCAGAUUGCCUAAACUGCCACAGCACCCUCCAAAAUUCACAGAAAACAGACCGUUUUGAGAAGGAGAAAGGAGAGCUAGGUAGGCUGGAGAAGCCCUUCUUUCCCCAGUGGGCAGCAAGGCCUUUCUUUUCACGUGCCAACUCAGCUGUUUUAUCUCCAGCCCCAGCAGCCUAGGAACUGGAUUUCUGGAAAUUUUCACAAGUCAGGGAGGCCCCAGGACAUUAUGGGUAAAGAGGCCAGAACACCUGCCCAGAUGGUGUGGCAAGAGCGCUGGGGCUUUCCAUCUGAGGCCAUCAGGCCACAAAGCCAAGUCACAUGAGGGUCAUGGGCCUCGAUUUUCCAGGUGACCAGCCGCAAACCCCAAAGGGCCGAUUGGCCUGACGCUGCUGAAGGGAUGUUUUCCUGUGGAGGCGGCUCAGGGCUCUGCGGGGACAGAAGACAAAAACCUCCAACCAUGUCUCCCCCAAUCCUCAGAAGUUUGUCUCCCAGGCUGAGAAGAUGAAGACCAUAAACCUUCCCAGUUUUUAAUCAAGGAACAAUUUUCAGGAAAAGCAGAGAGCCAAAGGGCUUGUCAUUUCUCUGGAGACUCACCGCCCCCUCCUCCACCACCCCAGGUCAGGCACAUGAGGGGCCCUGCUGAAACGCUUGCAAUGCAAGCUCUGAGACCUUGUGAGACCUUCUGGCGCCGUGCUGAGCAGCUCCACAAGGAGAGCCAUGUCAGUCCUUGCCUGAAGCCUUCAGCUUUCCCUGGGCCAGAACGUUGUUUGGGGUUUGUUUUCUCCUCUUUCCCCCAAUAUAUAUUUUUUGAUAAAUUACCAAAGCUUCUUCAUCGCUGAAAGGCUCAAAGCACUAUUCAAGAACUGGCAUCCACCCCAUGCCUUGUGAAUUCAUUAAUUAAGAUGCUGGCAAACAGCCACUCCACACAUGCUGACAUCCAGCCGUGUUAGGUAAUGAGGUUUUAGUCUCCUGACCCCCGUCAAGUGGAAUGGAGCCAGACACAGGCUGCCGAGAGAAAUCACCUGCCCAAUGGCAACCUGUCGCUUGCGCGUGGCAGCAGGUGAGGCUCAUUUAAUGGUCAGCGACCCUUGCGGUGUCUGCAUGCCAUGAGCCCUCCUCCCAGCCCCUGGAUGGGUGGCUCCCCCGCAAGGUGGUGUCCAACUGUCUGCCCCAGCAUGGCCUCCUAAUCUCUGGCCAGUGAACCACUCAACGGGGCCCAGACGGCAGGGGCGAGGGUUCAAGUGCUUCCUCCAGCCACUCAAGCCAAUUCAGUAAAUAUUUAUUGAUGGUCCACUAAGCUGCUUCUGCCCCUUGUCUUAGAAAAUUGGUAGAUGCCUCCCAGCCUUGUGCACAGCCUCUUCCAGAACUUGUGACUGUCUUCACCUUUGCGUUGGAGGAGUAACGAAGAGGACGCGACCACCGGUUAACCUGAGUGCGGGACCAGGGCAAUCGGAGGCUCCUCACCCUCCAUUGACCUUGGAAUGUACGUUCUGCCCACUGUUCCCACAGUGGGAGCUGUUCCAAGGACACAGCCUUGAGAGACCAUGUGUUAUGGAGACCAUCUGGACAGUAUACGUGACUGAACCCAGUUAAGGCCUCUACACAAACUUUGAAGAUUUGGCGGGCGGAUGCGGAGGUCUAUUCUUCUUACUCAUGGCCCAAGACAAGCCUCACCUGGAAGUUCCCUUGCUUCCUAAACCUGCCUCUGGAGUGACUUGCCUCUUUCUUGGGUCUCUCUCUGUCGUCCAUGGAAGGGGACCAAUUUGCAAACCAACAACUUGGUCCUUCUGCCUCCCUAUGCAGAGAGCUUACAGCAGUGGCUUAAACUGAACAAAUAAUUACAACGUCAAGGUUCUUUCCUCCUGUGCUCAUCCUGCCUAGGUAAUUUUCUCCCCUCAAUUUACCACCUCUUUUUCUAGUUAGGAUUCUGGUGAAUUUAAAUGACUCCCAUUCACUUUAUUCCCUAUAGCAGAAACUAUUAUUUGGCCAACACAACACUGAUUCCUAACCCCUCUUCCUUUGCCCACCUUCACUACAGAGGUUAGAAAAGCUCAAGAGAUGCUUUCCCAUACUCAUUGCAGCCAGAGAUGGUCAUGAUCCAGUUCUGGCCAAUGAGAUGUUCCAGAAGUCAGGUGGAAGACUCCUGGGGCAGCUUAUGCUUUUCUGAUAAAAGGGACAGUGUUGUGGGGCUCCUGGGUGGCUCAGUCGGUUAAGCGUCUGCCUUCAGCUCAGGUCAUAAU